UUUUGACCUCGGAUCAGGUAGGGAUACCCGCUGAACUUAAGCAUAUCAAUAAGCCGGAGGAAAUC
rnacentral:rRNA from 1 species